CAUUACGCCAUCUUCAAAAUAACAGUUGAACAGUGUCUCGUAGAUCAGUGUAGUGCAUGUCAUUUUUAAUAGUGAAAAAGUGUCCCAAAUCCGUUCACCCAAACCAAAUGAAUAGUAUUGAAUACAAGAAGCCCCCCCUUAAACAUAACGGCAAUAAGCUUAAAAACGAAAAACGGUAGACAGUUUUACCCUUGAUAAAGGCCAAAUACAGAGUGCCGAAACGUUGGGCAAAACAAAACUUUCCGUUUUGAUUUCCCUAGACUGAGAAAGCCAUAAAAUCACAGUUAAAAUCCUUCCAGUCGAGUAUCCUAGAU